AUGUAAACUGUCUCCCUGAUAGGAGAUUUCGUCCCUUUCCCUCACUGCUGCUAGGAUCUUCUGCUUAUCAACGUAGUUGUGCAAUUUCACUAUAACGGGUCUGACGUAGUUUUCCUUCCGUGGUCCUAGGGCUCUGUGAGCUCUAUCAAUCUUUAUACGGCCAUGCUUAGUGUCCAAGCCAAGUAUGUCAGGCAGCCAUGAUUCAAAAUGUUUUACUCCCUGUGUCCCCUCUGCACCUUCCCGUAGGCCGAUGAUGCAUAAGUUGUCCCAUCGACUACGGUUUUCUAAGUCUUCAGAUCGAUCGGUUAGGGACCUAACUUGUUGCUCAAGCCCGGCAACUUUACUCUCCAGAGAACUUGUACGGUCGUCGCACUCUGAGAUGCGAGACUCUGCAUCCCAGAUAGCACACAUUUUGGCUGAAGUCUGGCAUACGUUUGGUAUUUUUGGGUUUGUUUUGGCAUAGAAACGGCAAAGUAAAUGCUUUCGGCUGAACUGUGGCAAGAUUGUGGUUUACCAUAAUAGAUAAAUAAAAAGGCGCCAGCGGUAGAUAACUAGUUAUAGCAAAUGUCUGGUUAACCAGAUGAAUGGGCGGGACGGUUUACUGACGUAUGCAGGUGCGUUUUGACGUCCUUGUGGUUUGCCAGAAGACUGAUCAAAGACCGGGAAUUUUCUCUAGAAGAGACGUCUAGUAGUAGUACUUCACUAACUCUAGCACUAUCACAGACGUGCAUAAGACAUUCAGUGGAGCUGCAGCAAGCAGUAUAAAUGGCUAAGUUUUUGUCAUGGCAAUAAAGCCUUAUUUUGCCCUAAUAUAGCUAGCUAAGUAGCUAGUUAACAUGUUAACCUGAAUGCUCUGCAGGUGGCAAACUUUUUUAAAACACAGACAGACUUAUGUCAAUGAACACAUUCCAUUAUUUCCCUUUUUUCUCUUCUGUUUUCAGUGCAUAAGGCAUUCAGUGGAGCUGCACCUUAAGGCAAUUGUAAUGGAUGCUAGAAAUCUGCAGCAAGCGGUAUAAAUAGUGCAUAAGGCAUUCAGUGGAGCUGCACCUUAAGGCAAUUGUAAUGGAUGCUGUGAGAAGAAAUUCAGUUUGCUCUGCCAACAGUCGACCCGUUUACAGUAAAAAGUAUGCUGAUAUGACUUAAUAAAUACAAAUCACAAUGAAAUGCAA